AUUGAACGCUGGCGGCAUGCCUCACACAUGCAAGUCGAACGGUAACGGGCCUUCGGGUGCCGACGAGUGGCGAACGGUGAGUAAUGCAUCGGAACGUACCUUUCAGUGGGGGAUAACGUAGCGAAAGUUACGCUAAUACCGCAUAUUCUGUGAGCAGGAAAGCAGGGGAUCGCAAGACCUUGUGCUGAUUGAGCGGCCGAUGUCAGAUUAGCUAGUUGGUGAGGUAAAGGCUCACCAAGGCGACGAUCUGUAGCGGGUCUGAGAGGAUGAUCCGCCACACUGGAACUGAGACACGGUCCAGACUCCUACGGGAGGCAGCAGUGGAGAAUUUUGGACAAUGGGGGCAACCCUGAUCCAGCCAUGCCGCGUGAGUGAAGAAGGCC
rnacentral:rRNA from 1 species